GCCGAAGUGGCGGAAUUGGCAGACGCGAACGACUCAAACUCGUUUGGGAAACCGUGUGGGUUCGAGUCCCACCUUCGGCA
rnacentral:tRNA from 1 species